UACGUAGGGACCGAGCGUUGUCCGGAAUCAUUGGGCGUAAAGAGCGUGUAGGCGGCCAUUUAAGUCCUGCGUGAAAUCUUGCGGCUCAACCGCAAGCGGUCGUGGGAAACUGGGUGGCUAGAGUGCGGGAGAGGAGAGUGGAAUUCCUGGUGUAGCGGUGGAAUGCGCAGAUAUCAGGAAGAACACCCGUGGCGAAGGCGACUCUCUGGAACGCAACUGACGCUGAGACGCGAAAGCGUGGGGAGCAAACAGG
rnacentral:rRNA from 1 species